rnacentral:rRNA from 1 species
AGCGAACGCUGGCGGCAGGCUUAACACAUGCAAGUCGAGCGGGCACUUCGGUGUCAGCGGCAGACGGGUGAGUAACACGUGGGAACGUACCCUUUGGUUCGGAAUACCGCUGGGAAACUAGCGCUAAUACCGGAUACGCCCUUUUGGGGGAAGGCUUGCUGCCGAAGGAUCGGCCCGCGUCUGAUUAGCUAGUUGGUGGGGUAAUGGCAUACCAAGGCGACGAUCAGUAGCUGGUCUGAGAGGAUGAUCAGCCACACCUGGACUGGGACACGGCCCAGACUCUUACGCGAGGGAGGAGAGGGUGAUAGUGGAAAACGGGGGCAAGCCUGAUCGAGCCAGGCUGCGAGAGUGAUGAAGGCCUUAGGGUUGUAAAGCUCUUUUGUCCGGGACGAUAAUGACGGUACCGGAAGAAUAAGCCCCGGCUAACUUCGUG